UUUACAGGAACCAAGUCCUCCAACGUGCAUUCCUGUUGAGUAACAGGGUCUUUAGACGUUUCACGAAUAACUUGUUCAAUCAAGCGCUUCUCGUAAACAUUUCCUACAUUCAGUCAGACAGGGAAAUUAUUGUACAAACAUACCACUUACACGAGAAAUCACCGGUUCUUUUGGCGUUUCUCCACUGAUUGAGCAAAACAUUCGGCACACGUUGGUUUCUGUGUGUAAUAGCUAGAGGAAAGCAAUGCAUAGCCAACUAAUCGUUUACUGCACUAUA